AUUGGACGCUGGCGGCGUGCCUAAUACAUGCAAGUCGAGCGAAUGGAUUAAGAGCUUGCUCUUAUGAAGUUAGCGGCGGACGGGUGAGUAACACGUGGGUAACCUGCCCAUAAGACUGGGAUAACUCCGGGAAACCGGGGCUAAUACCGGAUAACAUUUUGAACCGCAUGGUUCGAAAUUGAAUGGCGGCUUCGGCUGUCACUUAUGGAUGGACCCGCGUCGCAUUAGCUAGUUGGUGAGGUAACGGCUCACCAAGGCAACGAUGCGUAGCCGACCUGAGAGGGUGAUCGGCCACACUGGGACUGAGACACGGCCCAGACUCCUACGGGAGGCAGCAGUAGGGAAUCUUCCGCAAUGGACGAAAGUCUGACGGAGCAACGCCGCGUGAGUGAUGAAGGCUUUCGGGUCGUAAAACUCUGUUGUUAGGGAAGAACAAGUGCUAGUUGAAUAAGCUGGCACCUUGACGGUACCUAACCAGAAAGCCACGGCUAACUACGUGCCAGCCGCCGCGGUAA
rnacentral:rRNA from 1 species